UUCACGUGGCUUCCUGGCACUUCCUGCUG
rnacentral:piRNA from 1 species